rnacentral:lncRNA from 1 species
UGACCCUGAACAGGCUUUGCCUUUGCACUUACCAGAAAAUGUCUGUUCGAUAGAAUGAGUUCAGUUGCUUGCUAAUUUCAAUCCGAUCAGGUGGGUGCGUUGUUUAGCUGAUUCGAAAAUACUUUCACAGGUGAGUGGGAGAGUAAAGGCUGAAAACUUGUCGAGGGAUAUUUUACAUCAAUCACAAUUAGUUCCCAUAGGCUCGUUAGGCUAUUGUGAAUUUUUAUCAGAGCGAUAGCCCGAUCCGCGUCACACCUCCAGAGCCACCAUGUGCUGCCCAAGUCGCUAUUAUCGGUGCACGCCGUGCGUGCAGUGCUGCCUUAUCGACUGCAGCUACUGCUGCUUCCGAUCGGACUGUUGUGGUCCUUGCUGCGUGACCACCCAUCCGCCUAGUUUGUAUGGCGGAUGCUAUGGACCAUGUUGCUAGAUUGGCUGAAUGACGCACCCCCACGGACUGUCAAGCAACAGGCUUUCAACUUUAUUUGGAACUCAUUUUUUUAGUAUACAUAGUAGGCCCCGAGUCGAUGUCAAUGUUUACAAGCUACGGACCAUCGGCUGGAAGUUCAUUCCGACUUUGAGCCUCGUUGUGAACACAAUACAAAAAAAAAACAUUACAUUUUCCAAUAACUAACAUCGUUUGGACUAAUAUUUUUUUGUGGUAAGUUGUUAAGAGAAAAUUGUAUUUAGAAUUAAUGAACAUUCUUUUAAUCUUUUACAGAACACUUGCGCUCUCUGUCGGAACUUACAAACAAUCGUCUAUCUCCUGGUUCCUGCUUUUUAGCUAAUUAGCUUCAUCGUUCAUCGAGAUGUGCUGCAAUCCCGGUGGCUGCUGCGGCCUGCCCGCCAGCAUUCAGUGCACCAAUUUCUGCUUCAACUGCUGGACCGGCACGGCGAGCGUUCCCAGCUGUCGCACUGGCUACACGCCCUGCUGUCCGCUCUAUCGCGGCUGCUGCGGUGGUCCACGAGGUUGUUGCUAGCAACGCUGCAAGAUGUGCCCGAAAUUAGGAAAUAACAUACAAAAUCAUCCGUGAAUAAAAACCAACAAAAAUAGUAUUUUAUAUUUUUAUAAUCC